rnacentral:rRNA from 1 species
GACGAACGCUGGCGGCGUGCUUAACACAUGCAAGUCGAGUGGUAAGGCCCUUUCGGGGGUACGACGAGCGGCGAACGGGUGAGUAACACGUGGGUGACCUGCCCUCAGCUCUGGGAUAAGCCUGGGAAACCGGGUCUAAUACUGGAUAUGACUCCAUGACGCAUGUUGGUGGGGUGGAAAGCCUUGUGCGGCUGAGGAUGGGCCCGCGGCCUAUCAGCUUGUUGGUGGGGUGAGGCCUACCAAGGCGACGACGGGUAGCCGGCCUGAGAGGGCGACCGGCCACACUGGGACUGAGACACGGCCCAGACUCCUACGGGAGGCAGCAGUGGGGAAUCUUGCGCAAUGGGCGAAAGCCUGACGCAGCGACGCCGCGUGAGGGAUGACGGCCUCGG